UUCCUGGUUAAUUGUAGUUAUUUCUUACUCCCAAGUAGGAAGAGUAGAAUUGUUGAUUUCACCUUCACUUUUCUUAUGUGGAAAUGAAAGGUCAACAUCUAUAAAAAGUAAGGAGAAUAUAUCAGAACCAAACUAUUUCUGUCUGUAGUCGUUUAUUAAGGAAAAGAUUUAUCACACACCUUCCCCAGAUGUAUGUAGUAGAGACUAAUUUUUGAACUAAUCUAAUUAAAGUCAAUUUUGGGGUAGUGGUACCUCUCUAAUUUUUUCUGAGACAUACACAUUAGCAACAGAGUGUUAUGUUGUCCUAGCAACGGGUAAUGACUUCAGAAAUAGAAUUGAAUUAUGUCACAAUGGCAAUUUGAGAACAGCUGCCACUGUGUGAGUUUAGUUAGGAGGGACAGAAAAGCAUGUUGGCUGUGAUGAAACCACGUGAGGGUUUGUGGAUCUCACCUUUAGGCACUUACAGAGAGUCCAUGCCCCUCUGUAAGUGUUUUGAUGCUUGGCUGAGGCACUCUUGCAGAUACUCCUCUGUUCACCUGCCUGUCCUAACAACUCUGAUAUUACUAAAAUUUGGAGGAGCAAGAGGAUGUAGCACUGCAAUAACUGAAGGACUUCAUUUCUUUCAGUGAAAAAGAAUGAGCUGGGAGUAGAUGUUCUGGAACAGAAAUGUACAACGGAAGUAAAUUAUAUGGAAACAGAAGAUGAAAUGAUAUGAUCUAGG
rnacentral:lncRNA from 1 species